ensembl:lncRNA
GGGACUGGUGGAGGAUCCCCAGUUAGACCAGAGGAGCUGGGGGACUGGUGGAGGACCCCCAGUAAGACCAGAGGCAGAUGGGGGGACUGGUGGAGGACCCCCCAUAAGACCAGAGGCAGAUGGGGGACUGGUGGAGGACCCCCAGUAAGACCAGAGGCAGAUGGGAGACUGGUGGAGGAUCCCCAGUAAGACCAGAGGAGCUGGGGGACUGGUGGAGGACCCCCAGUAAGACCAGAGGCAGAAUGGGGACUGGUGGAGGAACCACCAGUUAGACCAGAGGAGCUGGGGGACUGGUGGAGGACCCCCAGUAAGACCAGAGGCAGAAUGGGGACUGGUGGAGGACGCCCAGUUAGACCAGAGGAGCUGGGGGACUGGUGGAGGACCCCCAGUUAGACCAGAGAAGCUGGGGAACUGGUGGAGGACCCCCAGUUAGACCAGAGGAGCUGGGGGACUGGUGGAGGACCCCCAAUUAGACCAGAGGAGCUGGGGACUGGUGGAGGACCCCCAGUUAGACCAGAGGAGCUGGGG